rnacentral:lncRNA from 1 species
GACCAGAAAUAGAGAUGAGAGGGUUAGUAUGUUAUGUUUAUAAUUAUUAGGAAUCACAUGCCAAUAUGUACAGUCCAUUAUAUUUUUCUUUAUUAGCAUGCUCUUAUACGAAUUUAUAUUAUUUUUCUUUGUUAAUAUUAUUUUAUUAAAAUGAUUUUAGCAAUUACAUAACAUUCCAUACCAGUUCAUAAUAAUUUUUUUAUUAGCAUGAUCAUAUAUCAAUUUAUAUUAUU